AUGGCAGGCCAGCGCGCGCGAGAGAGAGAGGCAGGAGAUGGCAGGCCAGCGCGCGCGAGAGAGAGAGGCAGGAGAUGGCAGGCCAGCGCGCGAGAGAGAGAGAGGCAGGAGAUGGCAGGCCAGCGCGCGAGAGAGAGAGAGGCAGGAGAUGGCAGGCCAGCGCGCGAGAGAGAGAGAGGCAGGAGAUGGCAGGCCAGCGCGCGCGAGAGAGAGAGGCAGGAGAUGGCAGGCCAGCGCGCGCGAGAGAGAGAGGCAGGAGAUGGCAGGCCAGCGCGCGCGAGAGAGAGAGGCAGGAGAUGGCAGGCUAGCGCGCGAGAGAGAGAGGCAGGAGAUGGCAGGCCAGCGCGCGCGAGAGAGAGAGGCAGGAGAUGGCAGGCCAGCGCGCGCGCGAGAGAGAGAGGCAGGAGAUGGCAGGCCAGCGCGCGCGAGAGAGAGGCAGGAGAUGGCAGGCCAGCGCGCGAGAGAGAGAGGCAGGAGAUGGCAGGCCAGCGCGCGAGAGAGAGAGGCAGGAGAUGGCAGGCCAGCGCGCGAGAGAGAGGCAGGAGAUGGCAGGCCAGCGCGCGCGAGAGAGAGAGGCAGGAGAUGGCAGGCCAGCGCGCGCGAGAGAGAGAGGCAGGAGAUGGCAGGCCAGCGCGCGCGAGAGAGAGAGGCAGGAGAUGGCAGGCCAGCGAGCGCGAGAGAGAGGCAGGAGAUGGCAGGCCAGCGAGCGCGAGAGAGAGGCAGGAGAUGGCAGGCCAGCGCGCGCGAGAGAGAGAGAGAGAGGCAGGAGAUGGCAGGCCAGCGCGCGCGAGAGAGAGAGGCAGGAGAUGGCAGGCCAGCGCGCGCGCGAGAGAGAGAGAGAGGCAGGAGAUGGCAGGCCAGCGCGAGAGAGAGAGAGAGAGACAGGAGAUGGCAGGCCAGCGCGAGAGAGAGAGAGAGAGGCAGGAGAUGGCAGGCCAGCGCGAGAGAGAGAGAGAGAGGCAGGAGAUGGCAGGCCAGCACGAGAGAGAGAGGCAGGAGAUGGCAGGCCAGCGCGAGAGAGAGAGAGGCAGGAGAUGGCAGGCCAGCGCGAGAGAGAAAGAGGCAGGCAUGAGAAGGCAGGCUGGCGGUCAUAUGUUUUGA
rnacentral:lncRNA from 8 species